CGAACUUUUUGAAUUUCAUUUCCCGUUUGGCUAGAUGGACCUUUGAUCUGACCCAGUACGGCCGUUCGUAUGUUCUUGUGUAAGCUUACCAAAGAGGCAAAUGGCCGCUCUGGGUCAGAGCCCUAGACGUACCACUUCUGUGAUAAGAUGCAUGCAAUUCUAGGGGGUGGGGGGGGCUACCACUACCCCACCCCUGUCCAUGGACACCUGCAAGGGGUGAGUCUCAUGCAACAGGGAUGAGGAAGAUGAGGAGGUGGAGGAGGAUGAGGAUAGUGCAUAGCAUGCAAGCGGAGAAACCAUUCUCCCUGACAGCCAGGAACUGUUUUUCACCCUGGAGCCAAUACCCUCCCAAGUCAGGCUCACGGACCAUGAAGCCAGAGAACGCACCUCUGCUGCAAAUGUUUCAACCCUCCCCCUAUCAUCUCGGUCCCAGAUGCUAGCACAGAUAAGAAGGU